AGUAACACGUGAGUAACCUGCCCCUGACUUCGGGAUAAGCCCGGGAAACUGGGUCUAAUACCGGAUACGACUGCCGGACGCAUGUCUGGUGGUGGAAAGUUUUUUCGGUUGGGGAUGGGCUCGCGGCCUAUCAGUUUGUUGGUGAGGUAAUGGCUCACCAAGACGACGACGGGUAGCCGGCCUGAGAGGGCGACCGGCCACACUGGGACUGAGACACGGCCCAGACUCCUACGGGAGGCAGCAGUGGGGAAUAUUGCACAAUGGGGGAAACCCUGAUGCAGCGACGCAGCGUGCGGGAUGACGGCCUUCGGGUUGUAAACCGCUUUCAGCAGGGAAGAAGCGCAAGUGACGGUACCUGCAGAAGAAGUACCGGCUAACUACGUGCCAGCAGCCGCGGUAAUACGUAGGGUACGAGCGUUGUCCGGAAUUAUUGGGCGUAAAGAGCUCGUAGGUGGUUGGUCACGUCUGCUGUGGAAACGCAACGCUUAACGUUGCGCGUGCAGUGGGUACGGGCUGACUAGAGUGCAGUAGGGGAGUCUGGAAUUCCUGGUGUAGCGGUGAAAAUGCGCAGAUAUCAGGAGGAACACCGGUGGCGAACGCGGGACUCUGGGCUGUAACUGACACUGAGGAGCGAAAGCAUGGGGAAGCGAAC
rnacentral:rRNA from 1 species